rnacentral:misc_RNA from 1 species
CUCUAGCUCCGCAGGAGGGACCUGAUAUCGCUUGUAUUUGAUCAAUUCCUUCAAUCGAUCAACAACAAAAAUAAACCCGUCAUCAUCAAUGUAGCAUACAUCUCCAGUUCUUAACCAUCCCUCUGAAUUGAGAGUUGAUGAUGUAGCUUCAGGAUUAAAAAAGUAACCUUUCAUAAUUGAGGGACCUCUAAGCCAAAGCUCACCGGUCUGGUUCACCGGCA